GCCAAAAUAUCACCUGUAAUCUGCCAUAACAUAAAAUCUUUUUCACAUGGGAAGAAGGAACCAAUGUUUUUGUUCCACAGACCACAUUUACUGAACACAAAUUGGAUAUUUGUCCCUAAGAAACAAAAAUUUUGUAGAAAUUGAAGCCAUGUCCUAGAAAGCUCAGGUUAUCUGUUUUUAUCAUCCACACUUAACAGCAAAAUUUAUCUCAAGAGUAAAGUAGCUAUUGGAAUUCACGAAAAUAUCUUGUUGCAGUUGAAAAGAACCAAGCAGAACAAAGCCUAAAGUCAAAAUCAUCUCUCAAUUUUCUUUCAUUUUCUCUUAUUUU
rnacentral:misc_RNA from 1 species